GACGAACGCUGGCGGCGUGCCUAAUACAUGCAAGUCGAACGCAGUGGGUACGGGUGAGUAACACGUGGGUCCCCUCCCCUCAGAGGGGAUAACACUUGGAAACAGGUGCUAAAACGAUACUGAUGGAUGGACCCGCGGUGCAUUGGAUAGUUGGUGCGGUAACGGCUCACCAAGGCCACGCUGCAUAGCCGACCUGAGAGGGUGAUCAGCCACACUGGGACUGAGACACGGCCCAGACUACUACGGGAGGGAGCAGUAGAGAAUCUUCGGCAAUGGACGAAAGUCUGGCCGAGCAACGCCGCGUGAGUGGAAGAGGUUUUCGGAUCGUAAAACUCUGUUGUUAGAGAAGCGGUAUCUAACCAGAAAGCCACGGCUAACUACGUGCCAGCAGCCGCGGUAAUUC
rnacentral:rRNA from 1 species